UACGGAGGAUGCAAGCGUUAUCCGGAAUGAUUGGGCGUAAAGCGUCCGCAGGUGGCUAUGUAAGUCUGCUGUUAAAGAGUGAGGCUCAACCUCAUAAGAGCAGUGGAAACUACAUGGCUAGAGUGCGUUCGGGGCAGAGGGAAUUCCUGGUGUAGCGGUGAAAUGCGUAGAUAUCAGGAAGAACGCCGGUGGCGAAAGCGCUCUGCUAGGCCGCAACUGACACUGAGGGACGAAGGCUAGGGGAGCGAAUGGG
rnacentral:rRNA from 1 species